GGCAUCGGCUGCCGCAGCAUCAGUGUCGGAGGUUGCAGUGUCGGCAUCGGUGGAUGCAGCAUCGAUAUCGGCAACUACGCCCUCGGCAUCGGCUGCCGCAGCGUCAGUGUCGGAGGUUGCUGUGUCGGUAUCGGUGGAUGCAGCAUCGAUAUCGGCAACUACGCCCUCGGCAUCGGCUGCCGCAGCGUCAGUGUCGGAGGUUGCAGUGUCGGCAUCGGUGGAUGCAGCAUCGAUAUCGGCAACUACGCCCUCGGCAUCGGCUGCCGCAGCGUCAGUGUCGGAGGUUGCAGUGUCGGCAUCGGUGGAUGCAGCAUCGAUAUCGGCAGCUGCAGCCUUGACGUCAGCGGCCACAGUAUCGGGGUCGGAG
rnacentral:lncRNA from 1 species